rnacentral:misc_RNA from 1 species
UGUGGCGUGUAUGUGUGUAUGUGUGUGCGUGUAAAAAGCGCAUGCGCAUAUAUGCAUGCAUAGUAGUGCCCGGCUCUCUACGUUGGGAGGAGCGGAAACUAAACAUUUCCGUUUCUCUCUAACACAUAAACAAACACAACAUAGCCCAGCGCCGUUGCGUGCUUUCUCUCUCUCUCAACUCUCUCUCUUGUGGGGGGUGUUGUGUGUGGGGGUUUGUGCGCGCGUGUGCCGGAACAAGGCCAAUCGAUGCACGUGUGUGUAUUGUAUUGUUCUUUCUUAGAGAACGAUAUAAAAACCGCGUGCAUGGAUGACGGCUCAAAUAACGUGUCGCGAUGGAUGACUUGGCUUCCUAUCUCGUUGAAGAACGCAGUAAAGUGCGAUAG